rnacentral:tRNA from 1 species
UGGGUCCAUCGUCUAACGGACUAGGACAAUUACCUUCUAAGUAAUUAAUGCAGGUUCGAUUCCUGCUGGACUCAA